CUAUANUGCAAGUCGAGCGGACAGAUGGGAGCUUGCUCCCUGAUGUUAGCGGCGGACGGGUGAGUAACACGUGGGUAACCUGCCUGUAAGACUGGGAUAACUCCGGGAAACCGGGGCUAAUACCGGAUGCUUGUUUGAACCGCAUGGUUCAAACAUAAAAGGUGGCUUCGGCUACCACUUACAGAUGGACCCGCGGCGCAUUAGCUAGUUGGUGAGGUAAUGGCUCACCAAGGCAACGAUGCGUAGCCGACCUGAGAGGGUGAUCGGCCACACUGGGACUGAGACACGGCCCAGACUCCUACGGGAGGCAGCAGUAGGGAAUCUUCCGCAAUGGACGAAAGUCUGACGGAGCAACGCCGCGUGAGUGAUGAAGGUUUUCGGAUCGUAAAGCUCUGUUGUUAGGGAAGAACAAGUNCCGUUCGAAUAGGGCGGUACCUUGACGGUACCUAACCAGAAAGCCACGGCUAACUACGUGCCAGCAGCCGCGGUAAUACGUAGGUGGCAAGCGUUGUCCGGAAUUAUUGGGCGUAAAGGGCUCGCAGGCGGUUCCUUAAGUCUGAUGUGAAAGCCCCCGGCUCAACCGGGGAGGGUCAUUGGAAACUGGGGAACUUGAGUGCAGAAGAGGAGAGUGGAAUUCCACGUGUAGCGGUGAAAUGCGUAGAGAUGUGGAGGAACACCAGUGGCGAAGGCGACUCUCUGGUCUGUAACUGACGCUGAGGAGCGAAAGCGUGGGGAGCGAACAGGAUUAGAUACCCUGGUAGUCCACGCCGUAAACGAUGAGUGCUA
rnacentral:rRNA from 1 species